rnacentral:lncRNA from 1 species
ACACCGAGAGAACAACCGGUAGCCGGCGGGAAGUUACUUGCAUAAUGACGGAUGCUGUUAUCUGUUCUCCGCUUGGAAAAAUGGCGGAGGAUAUGAAUGUUCCAUGGAUAGCCUUUAUGGUACCUCAUCCAAAUGAUCUUGUUUGCUAUUUUGAGAUGGAUAAAAUUCAAAAGCUUUUCGCUAAUGCUAAAAGCGAAAAUGAUCAUGUAGAUGUUAUUCCUGGAUUAUCUUCCUUACCUUUAAAGAUUUACCCCAUGAAAUACAUUUAAGCAAGCCAAGUAAUGAACUUGUGCUAUAUUUAUAUCGUAUGGCACAAAAACUACCACAAGCAAAAGCUCUUUUGUUGAAUACCUAUGAAGAACUAAACCCAAUUCCUCUCACAAAUUAUCUAAAAUCAAAAGUUAAGAACUUACUCUAAAUAGGUUGCUUAACUUCAUCGAUUACACAGGAGAAUGAUGGUAGUUCAACUUCUGCAGGUUGUUUAUUUUCAUGGCUCGAUAGACAAAAAGUUGGUUCUGUUGUCUAUAUGUCUUUUGGAACAGUUGUAGAAUUGGAUAGUGAAGAGUUAAUGGCAUUAGCUGAAGCAAUUGAAUUUAGUGGCAAGCCAUUUCUCUGGUAUCUUAAAGACAAAUGCAAAGAAAAUCUUACAGAAGGGUUUCUUGAAAGAACAAAAGAGAAAGGAAUGGUGGUUUCUUGGGCACCACAGAGAGAGAUUCUGCAACAUGGUUCAGUUGGUGUGUUUGUAAACCAUGGAGGGUAUCAUUCAUUGCAGGAGAGUACAUUGGGUGGAGUGCCAGUGAUUUGUAGGUCACAUUUCAGCUGUCUACUUAAAAUAUUUAAAUGGACCUAAGCUAGAAGCAUUUUCUAAUACGAAUUCCAAAUUGCAAUUUGCACUAUAUAAGGAAUGCUCAUUCUCUUGUUAUUAAGCCAAGCAAAAAAGAGUUGAAAAAAAGAAACUAGCCAUUUUUAGGUAAUUGCGUGCCAAAAAUGGUUCAAGGGGAUGACAGUACCCGAGGAUCAAGUUCAAGUGAUCAAUCGCAGAUGAAUAUCCCAGGGGCAGGCGAUGCACAAACAAGAAAUGCUCAUGGAGGAGAAAAUUCCCAGGUGGGGAAUGCAUCUGGUGGCAGUACACAAGCUGAAAAUUCACAGUACACGAGCCAGCAAAUGGUUUACAGCGUAGGACCUCAGUCCUGGAACCCUCAUGGUUUAAACCCUUAUAUUUGGGGAAACCCUUACAUGGUGAAUCCUAUGUGUGGGAACCCGUGCUUGAUGAACCCUUAUUGGGUUCAUCCUUCCCAGGUAGUUUGUGCUAACCCUAAAUGUUGGCACCCACAAUGUGUAACAGCAGAAGAUGGAUGUCAUAAAACAACCAGAUUUCGUUUCACAAGAGGAAAAUAGCCAAGACCCUCCAAGCAGGACUGUCCAAGAUCCCAAACCAGAGAACGUCCCACAAAAGAGAAAUGUUCAGGCAAGAAAAUCUGAAAAAGGUAGUUCAAAAAAUGACAUUAUAAAGCAUCAGAAUGGAUCAACGGUUCGUUCAUUAGUUCUAGAACUGCCAAGAAGAAGGAUCGUAAUCUUUGAUAGGGCUGCCGCUUUUUGGCCGCCAGUUAUCAAACUAUCUCCCACGCCCAGGGAGAUAUGGGGUGUUAAUAUAUUGGGGUUUGUCCUUAUUUGUUCUCUUGAUGGCCUUUAUGAUUUAUGGUUAUGUUACGGGAAAUUUUCAUUUUGAAUUUGAAAUGUAAUGAGGAAAUCAUCGUUCGUGACACGCAGUGCAGAAAGCCAUGUUCUAAUGAUCAUCGAAGAAGCCAUGUUUCCUGCAAUUUUAUGAUGUAUUAUCUUUUUCAAUUCAAUAAAAACUUAUUACAAGAGAAAAUCUUACUUGGCCAAAAGAAAGAUAUUGAAAAUAGAUUGAAAUUUUACUUUGAAUUAAGUUGAAAUACUAAUUAGUAAACUGGUUAAAUUUGACAAGUUUGUUGAAUCAAUUCUAUUUAGAAUUCCAUUUACAAACGAAUAUUCAUAUUGUAAUAAAAUCUAAAAUAUAUUUACAUAAAGAGAAAAAAUAAUGAAAAUAAAGAGAUAGGGAUGAGAGGAAGAAGAAGAAUUAGAAGAUGGAGAGGAAAGAUAGAAAAAGAAGAGGAAAGAGAGGGGGGAGAGAAAAGAAAAGAAAAGAAAAGAAAAGGAUGGAAAAUGAGAAGAUGAGCAUUUAUGGGAUUGAAUUCAUUUAUUAAUUUUAAAUAUUAAAUAUAAUUAAUAAUAUAUCCAAAUUGUCAAAAAUAUGAUUCUUUUUAUUUGUUUAUGAGAACUUAAGUAUAAAUAUUAUGCAAAAAUUUGAUCACCAUUUAAUAAAAAACAUCCAAUAAUGUUAUGCAGAUUUUAUUUUGGUUUACAUAAGUAAGCCAAAAAAAAAAAAGAGUUUUUAUUAGCAAGGAAGAACACUCCAAUUGUGGAUAAUUAUAUAAUUAUUAUAUACUUAAGAAAAAAAUUGUCUAUUCUUCUUAUUAAGGUCAGAAGUUCGAGUUGUAAAAAAAAAAAAAAAAAAUUAUAGAGAGACAUAUUGAAACUUAAAACGAGGAUAAUGUUAAUUUAUAAUCCUUGUUAUAAUCUUUGUUCUUAUUAAAGAUAAAUAAAAUUUUACUAUUUAUAUAAAAUAAUUCUUCCCAUUUUACUAUUUCAAUAUAUAUAUAUAUAUNNNNNNNNNNNNNNNNNNNNNNNNNNNNNNUUUCUUUAUAUAUAUAUAUAUAUAUAUAUAUAUAUUAAUUUAUUAUUCUCUAUAUUAAUUGUUUCUUAGAAAUUAACAUAAAAUAUGAAUUUUCUAUGUUAAUCAAGCUUUCUUUCCUUUUUUUUUUUUUCCCUUUUAAAAUGGAGAGCAAAGAUUAAAGAAUUACAAGUAUAUUUUAGGAUAAGCUAAAAUCAAGUUUUCUUUUCUUUUUUUUUUUUUAAAUCAUCCGGUAUCCGGCACAGCUGACUAAUUCGGAUUCGAGUUCUACAAACACCCAUUAUGGAGGGUAACAGUUCCAACUCAGUUUUCUCUAUUCACUCCCGAAUAUUGCUUAAAAGAUCAAGCUUUCUUUAAUAAUAUUAUUUUUCUCAUACAAUUGCUUGCUCCUGUUUUUUUUCUUUUUUAGUAUAAUCAUAGAUAUCUCUAACCAACUAAGUUAGGACUAAAUUCUGCUCAAAUCAGGUCAGUCCCAUUAAGGAGCGGUGGCAUUCAUUCAUGAAAAUCGAUUCUUUUGCAUUGAACUAUUCAUCGAUUACGAUUGCUACUAUUUAACACGUUAAUAUGCACCUGCAUAAAUAAACUUGUUUUUAGUUUAAUUCAUAUUAGUUAGGUAUGUUAUGGAGGUUGCUCAGCAAAUGCAUAAUAGAGUUUAUUACCUAAACUAAGUUUGCUUAGUCAAACUAACGAACGGAGGUUGAGAAAGUUAGCUACUACAGAGUAUAGAUCCCUGUAUAAAAUGCAAUCAAUACCAUUUCAAACAAGAACAAAAACUAAGAGCGAAACCAAAAGGAAAAGACAAAAAAAAAAAAAAAAAAUCUUUCUAUCUUAUUUCCCAAAUCUCUCUUCACAAUGCCAUCAACCCAAAGCUCAUCGCCACAAAUAGCAGCAAGUCAUGUAGCUGUGUGCACAUGGCCAUUUAGUAGCCAUCCAUUAGGUUUCUUCAACUUAGUUCGUAAAUUAGCCACAGAAGCUCCUCAAACUCAGUUUUCUUUCUUCAGCUUACCGAAAACAAACUCCAUUAUCAAGUCAUCUCAAAAGAACUCUCCAUUACCAACUAACCUCAUGUCCUACGACGUAGACGAUGGCAUUCCGGAAGGAGUUAAUCACUUAACAAUAGAUCAUGCCGUGGAAGUCAGGCAUUUCCUCGAACAGUUACCGUACAACUUCGAACACCGUAUUGAAGAAGUGCUGGCGGACACCGAGAGAACAACCGGUAGCCGGCGGGAAGUUACUUGCAUAAUGACGGAUGCUGUUAUCUGUUCUCCGCUGGGAAAAAUGGCGGAGGAUAUGAAUGUUCCAUGGAUAGCCUUUACGGUACCUCAUCCAAAUGAUCUUGUUUGCUAUUUUGAAAUGGAUAAAAUUCAAAAGCUUUUCGCUAAUGCUAAAAGCGAAAAUGAUCGUGUUGAUGUUAUUCCUGGAUUAUCUUCUCUACCCUUUAAAGAUUUACCCCAUGAAAUACAUUUAAGCAAGCCAAGUAAUGAACUUGUGCCAUAUUUAUAUCGUAUGGCACAAAAACUACCACAAGCAAAAGCUCUUUUGUUGAAUACCUAUGAAGAACUAAACCCAAUUCCUCUCACAAAUUAUCUAAAAUCAAAAGUUAAGAACUUACUCUACAUGGUUUGCUCAACUUUAUCGAUUACACAGGAGAAUGAUGGUAGUUCUACUUCUGCAGGUUGUUUAUUUUCAUGGCUCGAUAGACAAAAAGUUGGUUCUGUUGUCUAUGUAUCUUUUGGAACUGUUGUAGAAUUGGGUAGUGAAGAGUUAAUGGCACUAGCGGAAGCAAUUGAAUAUAGCGGUAAGCCAUUUCUCUGGUCUCUUAAAGACAAAUGCAAAGAAAAUCUUCCAGAAGGGUUUCUUGAAAGAACAAAAGAGAAAGGAAUGGUGGUUUCUUGGGCACCACAGAGAGAGAUUCUGCAACAUGGUUCAGUUGGUGUGUUUGUAAACCAUGGUGGGUAUAAUUCUAUGUGGGAGAGUAUAUUGGGCGGAGUGCCAAUGAUUUGUAGGUCAGUUUGGGCAGAUAAUCAUAUAAAUGCAAAAGUUGCAGAGGAGGUGUGGGGGGUUGCUGUGAGAGUUGAAGGUAGGGUUAUUACUAAAAGUGGAAUUGUUAAGUGCUUGGAAAUGGUUUUUGAGCAGGAAAAAGAGAAGAAAAUGAGACAGGCUUGUAAGGAACUUAGACAAGUUUUGAUCGAAGCUGAUGGUCCUGAUGGUGUUGCUGCUAAGAAUCGAAAGACUCUGUUGCACUUAAUCAGUGGCUAAAGAUCUUAUUUUAUAUGUGCAUGCAUAUAUAUAUAUAUAUAUAUAUAUAUUGCUACAUAAAUAAAUGAACAGAGGGCCAUGGUUGCUACUUAAGAUAUGUGUCUCAUGCAAAUAUUUUUCUUAUGCAAUUUUCAUACCUAAUGUAAGCAAUUAUUGAGUGAAUUGACUAUAUUUCUUUAAUUUGUCUAUAUUACUGUCAGAAAUUAAAACAAUCAUUAUUAAUGGCAAAAAUGAAAAAAAUAAUUUAUUAUUUAUGAAAUUCACAAAUGUGAUAAAUAUUUGAGAACAUAAUAUUAUCCGUUUCUUGCGUGAUGUGUUUGUAGCGCAUGGUGCCUGUCCUUAUCAAAAAAAAAAAAAAAAAAACACAUGGUGGGUACAAUUGUUUGUGGGUCUGGCAGAUAAUCAUAUAAAUGCAAAAUUGCAGGAGUGUGGGGUUGAGGGUAUAAUUAUUAGACUAAAUGAUAAAAAGAAGUCCUAAUCUUUGACAAUUUUUGUAAUUUCAGCAAUUAUGGCUAUGAAUUUAUUUUUUUCGUUAUAAUUAUAGUCUCUUUUGUGUGACAGCGAAAAUGAUUUAAUAUUUCUAGAAUUAUAUUCAUGAAAAUUUACAUUAUUACAAAUAAAAUAAAUUAUAUCAAUUAACAUAAAAAUAAAGUAUGAAAGCGUUGAUCGGCUUAGAUCUCCUCAUAAUUAUAUCAAUUAACUACUUAUCCAUAAAAAUAAAUCGAUUUUUCAAUUUUACUUUUAUUUAUAGUAAAUGCAAAAAUUGUCUUUAAUUCUCUAUAAUUUUUUUAAAGGAUAAUUUAAUUAAAUUAAUGAACAUUUUAUUAUAAUUUAAGAUACAACAAAUAUUUGUGAAUGAAGGGAGUAUUUCUUUUUCUUUUACAAGAGACUCUAACUAAAACAAAAACUAUAAUAAAUAAAGAGAAAGAUAUAAAUAUCAUACAAAUGCUAUGAGAUAGGGGUGCCCGAAUUCCAGUUUUUGAAACCGGAACCGUCGAUUCAGAACCGAUUGGAACCGAAACUGGCUAGAACUGGAACCAUAUUGAAGAGGUUGCUGUUCGGUUUCAGCUUUAAAUUUUUAGAAUCGUGAAUAGGUGGUUUAAAGAACUGGUCGAAACCGAAGGUUUUGAUAAUCGCUUAGAACCAGCAGUUCCAACACAUUUUUAUUUUAUUUUUAUCAAAAUCUUCAAAUUAACCCCUCUAACAUCUAUAAACGGCUAUAUAAUAUCUAGUUAUAUUAACGGUAUUUGUGUAAGUUAGAUUUUUUAACUUUAAAACUAUGUAAAACCGAUCGAAAAACCGUUGAUUUUGGAACUAUUAAGGAACCAGAAUCAUCGGUUUUACAAUCUUGCUUUACUUUUUAUACAUAAUUAAAAGUCUUGACUUUGAUCACCAUGGUGGUAAGAUACAACUAAGAAACUUGAAACUGAGAAGUAUCUGAAACUGAGAAACUUUAAUGUCCUUGACCAAAUUCCUCUUGAAACAACUGAGAAGUAUCUUUCUCUGAGUUGGCUUCAGGCCAUCAAUCACGGAAGGAAUAGGUCUUUGAAGAUCCGCCACUGAAAACAAAAUAAGCUCCUUGUUAAUGAACUUGCUGUAUUUUAUUAGCUUCGGUAUAAAAGGAUAGAACAUUUCCACUGCUAUGAGUUGCCUGUACAAGAUAGAGCACCAAAAAUUAUGAAGUUCCGACGGUGAAGAUUUGUUUCAGGUGGGUGCCUGGACUGUUCUUUUUUGUUUAUUAUUUUUCUCAAUAAAAGGAAAACAUUUAUAUUUUUCCGUUGUUUUCUUUUUUUUUAAGGUAUAAUUUUCCUUUGUUUUCAAAGCUAUAAAUUUACAAUUUUAAAUUCAUUCUUAUUUAUUUAUAGAUAUAUAAUGUGAAAGGGUAUUAUUAUAAUUAUGUAUAAUAUCAUUUAUUCUCGAUAUGUUUUUUUUUUUUUUUUUAACUGAAAGAUGACUUAAUUAUUAUUAGUAUCCAUCAAAAUUAUAUCAUGAAUAAAAGAAAGAUAAUUCAUGAUCCAUUAUGAAUCAGACAUAGAACCAGCAGUAUGAGCUAUCAAUGCGUUGCUUGACUCACUGAUCUCUUUAACAAAAGCAAAUGAUAAAAAAUUGAACUCCUUUGUAAAAAGUUUUACAAUCAGCUGUAAUAACGUAAGAAAAAUAAUAUUGACUUGUGUUUGACUCUCGAAUGACCAACAACUGUGACUCUCCACCUUCAAUGGAACAUUUUGGUAUCGUGUUUUCAACCAACUUAGAGCUUCCUUGAUCCCUGUCGUCUCUGCCAUCAGAGCACUCACCACACUAUCCAGUUUCGGCAGUCGGCCAUCAACACAUCUCCCCUCGCCAUCUCUAACCAGGCAUCCUACUCCCGCCAUGUCAUCCAAUGGGUUAUAGUUUGCGUGUUUCGUUUUCUAUUUAAUUUAAAGAGAUUAUAUAUUGUGAGCAGAACAAAAUUUAGUACAUUUUUAAUUAAUUUUUCUCUCUAAUUUUGAACAAUGCAAAAUGAUCCUUCCCCUUUAUUUUCCUCAGUUAAUUUUUUUGGCUGCAAUAUUUUAGACUAUAAAAAACUUUUAUCUCAUAUACCUUCGUGGUUCUUACUAAUUUGAAUUUUUUUAUACGAAAAGAGUUCAUUACAAGCCUAUCUCAUUUUCUUCCCCUUUUCCUGCUCAAAAAUCAUUUCCAAGCACUUAACAAUUCCACUUUGAGUAAUAACCCUACCUUCAACUCUCACAGCAACCCCCCACACCUCCUCUGCAACUUUUGCAUUUAUAUGAUUAUCUGCCCAAACUGACCUACAAAUCAUUGGCACUCCACCCAAUAUACUCUCCAACAUAGAAUUAUACCCACCAUGGUUUACAAACACACCAAUUGAAACAUGUUGCAGAACAUCUCUGUGUGCAGCCCAAGGAACCACCUUUCCUUUCUCAUUACUUCUUUCAAGAAACCCUUUUGGAAGAUUUUCUUUAUAUUUUUCUUUAAGAGACCAAAGAAAUGGCUUACCACUAAAUUCAAUUGCUUCAGCUAAUGCCAUUAACUCUUCACUUUCCAAUUCUAAAACUGUUCCAAAAGAUAUAUAGACAACAGAACCAACUUUUUGUCUAUCGAGCCAUGAAAAUAAACAACCUGCAGAANNNNNNNNNNNNNNNNNNNNNNNNNNNNNNNNNNNNNNNNNNNNNNNNNNNNNNNNNNNNNNNNNNNNNNNNNNNNNNNNNNNNNNNNNNNNNNNNNNNNNNNNNNNNNNNNNNNNNNNNNNNNNNNNNNNNNNNNNNNNNNNNNNNNNNNNNNNNNNNNNNNNNNNNNNNNNNNNNNNNNNNNNNNNNNNNNNNNNNNNNNNNNNNNNNNNNNNNNNNNNNNNNNNNNNNNNNNNNNNNNNNNNNNNNNNNNNNNNNNNNNNNNNNNNNNNNNNNNNUUAGCGAAAAGCUUUUGAAUUUUAUCCAUUUAAAAAUAGCAAACAAGACCAUGUGGUGUAGGUACUGUAAAGGCUAUCCAUGGAAUAUUCAUAUCCUCGCCAUUUUUCCAACCGGAAAACAGAUAACAGCAUCUGUCAUUAUGAAGUGUCAGAAAAUUAGGUAUUAGAGAUCCCUCUAUAAAAUUCAAUCAACGACGUUAAAAGAACUCUAACCAAAACCUCACUUCAACAAAUAGCACCAUAUUUCUUUUUAGUGGCCAUCAAUUAGCUUUCUUUUACUUGGUACAUAAACUGGCAACAGAAGCUUCUCAAUUUCAUUUUUCUUUCUUCUACUUAGCAAAAACUAACCCAAUUGUAAAUAAUGUCAUUUUAUAUUGGAUGAAAAUGAAAAUUAAAAUAUAGAACGCAGAAACGAACAUAAAGAAAAAAGUAUUUAUAUAUAUAUUUUUUAAAUAUAAGAGAAGAAAAAUGUAAAAAUAUUUAGUAGAAAAAAAUGUGAUAUUUAUUGUGAAAUAUAUAUAUGUAUCCUUGUUAUAAUCUUUGUUCUUAUUAAAGAUGAAUAAAAUUUUACUAUUUAUAUAAAAUAAUUCUUCCUAUUUUACUAUAUAUAUAUAUAUUAAUUUAUUAUUCUCUAUAUUAGUUGUUUCUUAGAAAUUAACAUAAAAUAUGAAUUUUCUAUAUUAAUCAAGCUUUCUUUCCUUCUCUUUUUUUUUUUUAACUUUUAAAAUGGGGAGCAAAGCUUAAUGAAUUACAAUGCACAUUCUAGGAUGAGCUAAAAUCAAGUUUUCUUCUUCGUUUUUUUUUUUUUUAAACCACCUGGUAUCCAGCACAGCUGACUAAUCUGGAUUCGGAUUCUGCAAAGACCCAUUAUGGGGGCGACCGUUCCAACUCAAUUUUCUCCAUUCACACUAGAAUAUUGCUUAAAAGAUCAAGCUUUCUUUAGUAAUAUUAUUUUUCUCAUUCAAUUGCUUACUCUUUUUUUUUUUUUUUAGUAUAAUUAUAGAUAUCUCUAGCCAAUUAAGUUAGGACUAAAUUCUGCUCAAAUUAGGUCAACCCCAUUAAGGAGGAGUGGCACUCAUCGAUUGCGAUUGCUAAUAUUUAAAACCUUAAUAUGCACCUGCAUAAAUAAACGUGUUUUUAGUUUAAUCUUAUUAGUUGGGUAUGUUAUGGAGGUUGCUCAGCUAAUCCAUAAUAGAGUUUAGUACCUAAACUAAGUUCAUCUUUGCUUAGUCAAACUAACGAAUGGAGGUUGAGAAAGUUAGCUACUACAGAAUAUAGAUCCCUCUAUAAAAUGCAAUCAAUACCAUUUCAAACAAGAACAAAAACUAAGAGCGAAACCAAAAGGAAAAGACCAAAAAAAAAAAAAAAAACUUUCUUUCUUAUUUCCCUAUUCUCUCUUCACAAUGCCAUUAACCCAAAGCUCAUCACCAUAAAUAGCAGCAAGUCAUGUAGCUGUGUGCACAUGGCCAUUUAGUAGCCAUCCUUUUGGUUUCUUCAACUUAGUUCGUAAAUUAGCGGCAGAAGCUCCUCAAACUCAGUUUUCUUGCUUCAGCUUACCGAAAGCAAACUCCAUUAUCAAGUCACCUCAAAAGAACUCUCCAUAACCACCUACCCUCAUGUCCUACGACGUAGACGACGGCAUUCCGGAAGGAGUUAAUCACUUAACAAUAGAUCAUGCCAUGGAAGUCAGGCAUUUCCUCGAUCAGUUACCGUACAAUUUCGAACGCCGUAUUGAAGAAGUGCUGGCGGACACCGAGAGAACAACCGGUAACCGGCGGGGAGUUACUUGCAUAAUGACGGAUGCUGUUAUCUGUUCUCCGCUUGGAAAAAUGGCGGAGGAUAUGAAUGUUCCAUGGAUAGCCUUCAUGGCAGCUCCACCGAAUGAUCUUGUUUGCUAUUUUGAAAUGGAUAAAAUUCAGAAGCUUUUCGCUAAUGCUAAAAGCGAAAAUGAUCAUAUAGAUGUUAUUCCUGGAUUAUCUUCUUUACCCUUUAAAGAUUUACCCCAUGAAAUACAUUUAAGCAAGCCAAGUAAUGAACUUGUGCCAUAUUUACAUCGUAUGGCACAAAAACUACCACAAGCAAAAGCUCUUUUGUUGAAUACCUAUGAAGAACUAAACCCAAUUCCUCUCACAAA